CACAAUCAGUGUGCUUUGAAUUACGCAUCCUGUAUAACUGACCCUAUCUGUCAUUACCUGAAUGGCUUUUUAGUACCCGGACAUCCAGCUUCCCCAAGGAUUCCCUCCAACCCCACCAAAAAAAAACCCCCUCAUAAUCAUCUGUCUUUCUGGCAGGACAUCAUCAAAAUUCAAACUGGGAAAGGGAAACAGCUUUCAACCCACCUGUACAGAGCCCUCACUGAUCACAGAUGUGAGCACCGCUUUACUGCCAACAGCAGACCUUGGCUGAGAGCCUCCAAAUUCUGUACACCAGCUGCCAGAGUGUGCCAGCUACACUGUGAAAACCAUCAUCCCUGUCCUGGCACAGAAAUCAGGAGAGGAAAUGCCUUCUUUAUUUGGAUGAGCUCGACACCAAAACAAAGACGGAUGCUCUUUUGCCAGCGCAGAACGAUAACGUGUGAACACAGAUCCAAGUUGGUCUAGGAUCCCCUCUGGAUCAGUUCACGUCUGGCUCGAUGCCUGCCAGUCAUCCAAGCAGCCUCCUGCUGGGCUUGCUGGAAAGGACUAGAGCUCGGGCUACAGAAAGCAUGUCGUUUGGGAGUGGGAAAGAAAAAUUUCACAGAGCUCCAGAAAAAAAGAUAAUAAUGGAGAAAGAGGAAGGCAAAGGUGGUCACUGCAUCUAGCUGGCUCUUCCAAAACACUGUCGCCUGUGGGAGGGCUGGAGCUGGAAGGGACAGGAGAUCUUCUCACUUCUAGGAAAGGCAGCAGCAAUUAGGGGCAGACUUAUGGGAAAUCUACCACCAGGGGAGUGUGGGAAAGGGAGGCGAGAAAGGAAAAUGAAGCACAUAUUGGUGUUCCAAAAGUAAUCAUUUCUGCAAGCUGCUGUCUCAUUUUUUUUUUAAGCAGGGGUUAGAAAGCAAAAUGCAGAGUCCAUCUGUAUAAAGCGCAGAAGAUACAUUUGGGAUCUGGUGAUUUUGCACUGGAGAUUUCAACCUGUGUUGGAAAGCGAUUCCUAUAUCGCGUGAUGAUUUCAACUUUUUAGAAGUGACCUGUCAAACCAUGAGCCAUGCGAGGUUCAGCGCAAAUAACAGGAGGUGAAGGAAGUGGGCGAGUGAGGAGGAAGCCACACAGGUGAGCAGGGCUCAUGUGCUCACUGCAGAGGGACCACUGAGAAG